rnacentral:rRNA from 1 species
ACAGACGAGGAGCUUGCUCCUCUGACGUUAGCGGCGGACGGGUGAGUAACACGUGGAUAACCUACCUAUAAGACUGGGAUAACUUCGGGAAACCGGAGCUAAUACCGGAUAAUAUAUUGAACCGCAUGGUUCAAUAGUGAAAGACGGUUUUGCUGUCACUUAUAGAUGGAUCCGCGCCGCAUUAGCUAGUUGGUAAGGUAACGGCUUACCAAGGCAACGAUGCGUAGCCGACCUGAGAGGGUGAUCGGCCACACUGGAACUGAGACACGGUCCAGACUCCUACGGGAGGCAGCAGUAGGGAAUCUUCCGCAAUGGGCGAAAGCCUGACGGAGCAACGCCGCGUGAGUGAUGAAGGUCUUCGGAUCGUAAAACUCUGUUAUUAGGGAAGAACAAAUGUGUAAGUAACUAUGCACGUCUUGACG